CCUGAUGGCACCUCAAUCCUGAACUUCUAGCCUCCAGAACGGGAUGACCUCCAUAUUGACUGUCAACCACUCUGAAUGGAUAUUCCAGGCCUUUUGCAAGGGGGACCCCUCCACCAAGCAGCUAGGACUUUCUGGGAAAGGCUGGAGUCAUGGGGAGGUGGUAAAAAGAGCACUCUGUCAGAUGCAAUGAAACGUGAUCCUCCUAACGAAACCACUGCAGCUGGAGCCCACAUUGGGUCUGAAUUCUGGAUGGUAAACAGCCCCCACCAGCCAAGGUCCUCUUUGGUUGGCCAAGUGUUGUUACCUUUGACUGCAAGGAAAGCUGGGGAUCGAAUUCUUCAUCUGCAGAGGAGGAGCUUGUAGAAGAGGCAGAAGAGGUGGUCUCUGUUACCUGUGCUCUGACAGGGGUGUGCUUGGAGCCUGAAAUGGGAACAGAAAAACUCACUGACCUGCUAGCUUCAUUUCCUGCUUCAUGAACCAAAGCUGUCCCUCCCCUCCCCACUUACCCUCUCCCCUUCCUCCCUGCUCUCUCCUCCCUGCACCUGCCGUGAGUACAAGAAGGCGGUACCUAAGGGCAACUGAAAAUUUGGCCCUCCACGUUAAUUACAUUUCUGGGUCCCUGC